UACGUAGGGUGCGAGCGUUGUCCGGAAUUAUUGGGCGUAAAGAGCUCGUAGGCGGUCUGUCGCGUCGAUCGUGAAAACUUGGGGCUUAACCCUGAGCUUGCGGUCGAUACGGGCAUGACUGGAGUUCGGCAGGGGAGACUGGAAUUCCGUGGUGUAGGCGGUGAAAUGCGUAGAUAUCGUAAGGAAGACCAGUGGCGAAGGCGG
rnacentral:rRNA from 1 species